GCCCUCUCAGGGCCGUACCUGGAGAGUUUCCAGGACUCUACCGGAUUCGACUAUGGGAGGGAGAGUCAAGCAGAGGCCUACCCAUUCCAUUCCUAGCUUGGGCAGUGGCAAGCCAGGGGAAGGCAAUCUGCUACAAGU